rnacentral:rRNA from 1 species
GCCGUUUCUGGUAAGCAGAACUGGCGAUGCGGGAUGAACCGAGAGCUAGGUUAAGGUGCCUAAGUGAACGCCAAAGGACACCACUAAAGGAGUUGGUCGAUGAAGACAGCAGGACGGUGGCCCUGAAAGUAGGAAUCCGCUAAGGAGUGUCUAACAACUCACCUGCCGAAUCGACUGGCCCUGAAGAUGGAUGGCGCUAAAGCGUUCCACCGAUACCUGGCCAUCAGCAUUAGUGUGUGAUAUAUGCUGAUGGGUAGGAGGGCGCAAUGAUAGCUGCGAAGAGUAUAGCGUAAGCUUGCUUGGAGCUGUCAUUGGUGCGGAUCUUGGUGGUAGUAGCAGUUUAUUCAAGUGAAAAGCUUGAAGGCCGAAGUGGAGAAGGGUUCCGCGUAAACAUCAUUUGGACGCGGGUUAGUCGGUCCUAAGCGGCAGCUUACGUGCUGUGAUAUUUAAAGGGGAAGUGUGCUUUGUUGGUCUAUUAGCAUGUAACAGUGUUAAUAGCUGCUUAGUACUCUCCCAAGCCGCGAAAGGGAAUUAGGUUAAUAUUCCUAAACCAGGCUACGGAUAGUUCGUAGUAUGUGGCUAUUCGUGUGAAUACAUUCGUGUAUUUGCUGUUUAGUUGUGUGCUGUGAAUGCAGCGGUAACGCAAACAAACUCAGAGACGUCUUAGGCAGUUCUGGGAAGAGUUAUCUUUUCUGUUUAACGAAACGACGCCCUGGAAUUGAGUUAUUCAGAGAUAGGGCUGAGGUUUCGGAAGAGCAUCGCACUUUUGGCGAUGUCUGGUGCACUGUCUAAGGCCCUUGAAAAUCUGAGGGCGUGAAUGAUUUUCGUGCCUGGCCGUACCGUAAUCCGCAACAGGUCUCCAAGGUGAAUAGCCUCUGGCACUAGAACAAUGUGGGUAAGGGAAGUCGGCAAAAUAGAUUCGUAACUUCGGGAUAAGGAUUGGCUCUAAGGGUCGGGCCGGUCGGGCUAGCUCAUUUGAUUCAAUGUGUGUUUGUUGUAGAGUUUGAGUGAUAUGCUAUUGCUUUAUUGUAGUGGUAUUGAGCUUGAGCUUAAUGAUGAAUGCGCUUGGUUAAGUGUCUAGCUUGGUGUAUGCUUCAAGGUUAUAUCCAUAAUUUUGAAGUGUAUGCCCUCGCGGCUGGCUAAAAUCAACCAACUUAGAACUGUCACUGACUAGGGGAAUCCGACUGUUUAAUUAAAACAAAGCAUUGCGAUGGCUGGAAACGGUGUUGACGCAAUGUGAUUUCUGCCCAGUGCUCUGAAUGUCAAAGUGUGGAAACACAUCCAAGCGCGGGUAAACGGCGGGUGUAACUAUGACUCUCUCAAGAUAGCCAAAUGCCUCGUCAUCUAAUUAGUGACGCGCAUGAACGGAUCAACGAGAUUCCCACUGUCCCUACCUACCAUCUAGCGAACCCACAGUCAAGGGAACGGGCUUGACUGAGACAGCGGGGAAAGAGGACCCUGUUGAGCUUGACUUUAGUUUGAUAUGGUGAAGAGACAUGAAGGGUGUAGCAUAGGUGGGAGAUAUACUAACUUUGUUAGUGUGUCGAUCUUGAAAUACCACCACUUUCAUAGUUUCCUCACUUAGUCGGUGAUAAGGGAAGUGCCCAGGGGAAGCGUAUACAUUAACAUUUAUGUAUGUCUUAGCUUAACGGUUAAGCAUAUGUGAUGUCUUGGUGUACGUGAAACUUGGUGUCAUGAAUAUGAAGUAUUGUAAGGCAAAUGGUGUUUGAAUUAUGUGUUGCUACGACGUACAACUUGUUACGUUUAGUGAUGCAUUUCAGAUACAAUCAGUGUUUGCUGACCCCAACUAUGUCAAUGCAGCGAUGUAUUGGCAUGUGUGUGACCGAUGACAGUGUCAGAUGGGGAGUUUGGCUGGGGCGGUACACCCUCUAAAAUGCAACGAGGGUGUCCAAAGGUGAGCUCAGCGUGGACAGAAACCACGCGUAGAGUAUAAGGGCAAAAGCUCGCUUGAUUUUGAUUUUCAGUACGAAUACAAACCACGAAAGUGUGGCCUAGCGAUCCUCUAAUAUGACCUGAAAGUUUCAGGAUAGAGGUGUCAGAAAAGUUACCACAGGGAUAAUUGGCUUGUGGCUGCCAAGCGAACAUAGCGACGUAGCUUUUUGAUCCUUCGAUGUCGGCUCUUCCUAUCAUUGCGCAGCAGAGUACGCAAAGUGUUGGAUUGUUCACCCGUUAAC